CUUGAACUGUGUAUAGUGCUGGGAGCUGUGCCCUGAAAAAUAAAGAAUAUUUGUUGUAUUCUCACUACAGAUAGAGCUGGGGGCUGUGCCCUGAAGAUUAAAGCAAACUUCAUGUGCUUGGAUUGAGAAUGUGGAGACACUGUGGAUGUCUGUACCAGCUCUGUGUGAGCCCCGUGGGGCCACCCGUAGGUGAAUCCCUGGAUCCCACUAGGUGGCGACACUGCCAUGGAGAGACAUUCCCAGUACCCUUUCAUUGAGCAAAGGGAAUUUAGGAACUGUGUAUGGGGAACAACUGAUGGAAUAUCCCAUUUAUCCAGAUGAGACCGUUACAUAUAUUUGGCAAGUGACUCAAGGAGACACCCCAUUGUCAUCUGAUCCACGUUGUCUAACAAGACUGAACUCCAGCUCCCUUAAUCCACAGAAAGAUUUAUCAUCUGGGCCUUUUGGACCCGCAAGAUGGCGACCAGGAGCUCCGCAGUGCUUCUCUUAAGGGUUUUUGAUGUGCGUGUGCCAGUGGGUGCACUGAGUAUACAGCCUUAUUGCCAUGAUGGAGGAUGCCCAGAAUGACCAUUAUAAACAGAAUCUCCAUCCUGUUAUCCCAGUGUAAGAAUGCUUGUUGCAGCAGCCAUGCCCACUGGAGGAUUGUGUCUCUCACCCACAGGUCUUUUCUUACCCAUCAUCCCCUUUGGACUUAAAAUGCUGCAUAGUUAAAGUCCAGAAAGGCUUCAUCGAUCUCGCUUGCCAUCUCAGCAGGGGGUCCUUUGGGCUGGGUCAGAUUCGCUGACAGUUUGGUGAACUCCUCAUCGAAAUACCCCACAUCCUCCGGUCCAUUUAGGCUGGGUACGAACGGAGCUGUUACGUUCUUCUCGAUAAUAUCAUCCCAGACAAUGCCCUGCAAAAUAGGCACCAUAGCAAAUGCUCAUUAUUAUAGUUUCAUCAUUAGAAGCUGAGGAUAUGAAAGGACUGUAUCUCUUGGUUAAUUAUUUGGACAAUACAGAAAGGGGACUUACAUUAAAGAAUGGAUGUUCUGCUACAUCUGCGGCAUUCCCCGGGGUGGAACCUAGCCUCUCCUCAGGAUUCUUCUUCAACAGCUACAAGAAGUGAAAAUAGCCGUUACACUGAAGAAGCAGAAGCUUCAGGGAACUCAAGAGAAAGUGGUCACUGAUUAUAAUAAACUGAAAGCUCAGCGCUACUUACCUGUGAUAUGAAGCUUACUGCUUCGGAGUCCAGGGAUGAGGGGUAGUGUGGCUCAUCCUCCACGAUGGAAUCAUAUAUAAAGUCCCUGUCGUAUCCGGUGAAAGGCUUUUAAAUGGGGAUCACUGGCCCCAUCUAAAAAGCAAAAGCCUCCUCUACUGUCAUCUCUUCAGCCUGAGAAUCCUCUGGAAUGGGGCUGUAAUCGCCGGGGAGAGGACCCAUCGAUGUUUCAGAAGAGUCUUCUUCAUUCUCAGGAACUUCACUAUUGGGAAGAGGUCAUUGAGUGACAGUUCCCCUUUAUAUCUGGUGGCAAGGACUCUAAUCGUCAGGCAUGAAACAACGACUUUAUAUUUCCAUCUGUCUUACCUCAGUAUGCCGGUGCCGGUGCAGGAUGUUGCACAGUUUGGCGCCCAUC